CCUACGGGUGGCAGCAGUGGGGAAUAUUGGGCAAUGGACGCAAGCCUGACCCAGCAACGCCGCGUGAAUGAUGAAGGCUUUCGGGUUGUAAACUUCUGUGGACAGGGAUGAGUAGAAGACGGUAACUCUCAUAUAAACCACGGCUAACUACGGUCCAGCAGCCGCGGUAAUACGUAGGUGGGAAGCGUUUUCCGGCAUUACUGGGGGGAAAGGGUUUGUAGCCGGGUUUGGAAGGUAGCUGUGAAAUCCCGCGGCUUAACCGCAGAACUGCCUUUGAAACUUUUGAACUUGAGUACUGGAGGGGUAGAUGGAAUUCCUAGUGUAGCGGUGAAAUGCGUAGAUAUUAGGAGGAACACCAGGGGCGAAGGCGGUCUGCUGGACAGCAACUGACGGUGAGGCGCGAAAGCGUGGGGAGCAAACAGGAUUAGAUACCCUGGUAGUC
rnacentral:rRNA from 1 species